rnacentral:rRNA from 1 species
GAAUAUUGGACAAUGGGGGAAACCCUGAUCCAGCAAUGCCGCGUGAGUGAUGAAGGCCUUAGGGUUGUAAAGCUCUUUCGACGGGGACGAUGAUGACGGUACCCGUAGAAGAAGCCCCGGCUAACUUCGUGCCAGCAGCCGCGGUAAUACGAAGGGGGCUAGCGUUGUUCGGAAUUACUGGGCGUAAAGGGCGCGUAGGUGGUCUUGUAAGUCAGAUGUGAAAGCCCCGGGCUCAACCCGGGAAUAGCAUUUGAUACUGCGAGGCUUGAGUCCGGGAGAGGAUGGCGGAAUUCCCAGUGUAGAGGUGAAAUUCGUAGAUAUUGGGAAGAACACCGGUGGCGAAGGCGGCCAUCUGGACCGGCACUGACGCUGAGGCGCGAAAGCGUGGGGAGCAAACAGG